UACAUGGGGUGCAAACGUUGCUCGGAAUUAUUGGGCGUAAAGCGCACGUAGGCGGUCCGUUAAGUCAGAUGUGAAAGCCCCCGGCUCAACCGGGGAAGUGCAUCUGAAACUGGCGGGCUAGAGUACGAAAGAGGGUCGCGGAAUUCCCGGUGUAGAGGUGAAAUUCGUAGAUAUCGGGAGGAACACCGGUGGCGAAGGCGGCGACCUGGGUCGAUACUGACGCUGAGGAGCGAAAGCCAGGGGAGCAAACGGG
rnacentral:rRNA from 1 species